CAAUAUUAAGACCCCAUCCAACACCGCGCAGAUUCUUGCUGGAAGAGCUGCUGGACGAAGUGGAGGGUUAACAAAAAGUACCCAGUGAGGGGAGAAUCCAGAUAAUAACAAGUAAAAGAAUGUCCUACUAGGCUCUUGUUAUUAAGCUGUUUUAACCUUAUAUAUUAUGCUUUUACUUUGUUUUUUUUUCUUUUUACCUCAUGUGAUUGGUUGUAUUACCAUAUAUAACUUAGCAUGCUGAUAUUCCCAUCCUCAACCCUAUAACCUAGUAAAAAAGAUAAGAAAAGAGAAGAGUGAGAGUUUGUGACAUAGAGUUGGUGUUAAAGUGGGGGUUAGAGGAAGGAGAAGAAAAGCCGAGGAAGAGAGAGAGAGAGUAAGAUGUGACAUUUUGGCUAGCAUUUUCGUCUCUCCUUUUUUCGGAAAUCGGAAGUUAGUGUGUUUGGGUGUAUAGGGUUAGAGAGAGCUGUGGUGGUAUUUGGCUUCUCUGAGUUUGUGUACCUCUGAUUCCUUAUUUGUUUGUUACUCUAUUGCACUCUUUGUGUGAUUUAUUCGUUUGUAUUUUGGGUUUGCUGAUAUAUGAUAUAUGAUUUUUAUAUUCUAA